rnacentral:pre_miRNA from 1 species
AAUUUCAACUGAAAAAGUCAUCAACAACAAAGUUGUAUAACUCAUCAAGAUCUAUAAAUUUUAUUUUGGUCAUUUUUUCAUCCAACAAAGUGAUAGUAACAUUGUUCACAAAAAUUACAUAUUUCUCAUUUGGUUUUAUAAACAAUAAGAUAGAGAUGUAAAUUUUGUGAACAAUGUUACUAUCACUUUGUCGGAUGAAGAAAUGACCAAAAUUAAAGUUGUAUGUCUUGAUGAAUUCUACAACUUUUAUGUUCAUGACCUUUUCAGCUGAAUUU